CGGGUGUUAGCUCAGUUUGGUAGAGCGCUACCUUGGGGUGGUAGAGGUCGCCAGUUCAAAUCCGGUACACCCGACCA
rnacentral:tRNA from 1 species